rnacentral:rRNA from 1 species
ACACAUGCAAGUCGAACGAUGAAGCCCUUCGGGGUGGAUUAGUGGCGAACGGGUGAGUAACACGUGGGCAAUCUGCCCUUCACUCUGGGACAAGCCCUGGAAACGGGGUCUAAUACCGGAUAAUACCUGCCUGGGCAUCUGGGUGGGUUAAAAGCUCCGGCGGUGAAGGAUGAGCCCGCGGCCUAUCAGCUUGUUGGUGAGGUAGUGGCUCACCAAGGCGACGACGGGUAGCCGGCCUGAGAGGGCGACCGGCCACACUGGGACUGAGACACGGCCCAGACUCCUACGGGAGGCAGCAGUGGGGAAUAUUGCACAAUGGGCGAAAGCCUGAUGCAGCGACGCCGCGUGAGGGAUGACGGCCUUCGGGUUGUAAACCUCUUUCAGCAGGGAAGAAGCGAAAGUGACGGUACCUGCAGAAGAAGCGCCGGCUAACUACGUGCCAGCAGCCGCGGUAAUACGUAGGGCGCAAGCGUUGUCCGGAAUUAUUGGGCGUAAAGAGCUCGUAGGCGGCUUGUCACGUCGGUUGUGAAAGCCCGGGGCUUAACCCCGGGUCUGCAGUCGAUACGGGCAGGCUAGAGUGUGGUAGGGGAGAUCGGAAUUCCUGGUGUAGCGGUGAAAUGCGCAGAUAUCAGGAGGAACACCGGUGGCGAAGGCGGAUCUCUGGGCCAUUACUGACGCUGAGGAGCGAAAGCGUGGGGAGCGAACAGGAUUAGAUACCCUGGUAGUCCACGCCGUAAACGGUGGGAACUAGGUGUUGGCGACAUUCCACGUCGUCGGUGCCGCAGCUAACGCAUUAAGUUCCCCGCCUGGGGAGUACGGCCGCAAGGCUAAAACUCAAAGGAAUUGACGGGGGCCCGCACAAGCAGCGGAGCAUGUGGCUUAAUUCGACGCAACGCGAAGAACCUUACCAAGGCUUGACAUCGCCCGGAAAGCAUCAGAGAUGGUGCCCCCCUUGUGGUCGGGUGACAGGUGGUGCAUGGCUGUCGUCAGCUCGUGUCGUGAGAUGUUGGGUUAAGUCCCGCAACGAGCGCAACCCUUGUUCUGUGUUGCCAGCAUGCCCUUCGGGGUGAUGGGGACUCACAGGAGACUGCCGGGGUCAACUCGGAGGAAGGUGGGGACGACGUCAAGUCAUCAUGCCCCUUAUGUCUUGGGCUGCACACGUGCUACAAUGGCAGGUACAAUGAGCUGCGAUGCCGCGAGGCGGAGCGAAUCUCAAAAAGCCUGUCUCAGUUCGGAUUGGGGUCUGCAACUCGACCCCAUGAAGUCGGAGUUGCUAGUAAUCGCAGAUCAGCAUUGCUGCGGUGAAUACGUUCCCGGGCCUUGUACACACCGCCCGUCACGUCACGAAAGUCGGUAACACCCGAAGCCGGUGGCCCAACCCCCUUGUGGGGAGGGAGCUGUCGAAGGUGGGACUGGCGAUUGGGACGAAGUCGUAACAA